ACCAGGUUUCCAGAAUAAAAAUAGGGUUGCAAUCCUGGCAGAACUAGACAAGGAGAAGAGAAAGUUACUUAUGCAAAACCAGUCUUCCACAAAUCACCCUGGAGCCAGCAUUGCACUUGCAAGAUCACCGCUGAACAAGGAUUUCCGUGAUCAUGCUGAGCAACAGCACAUUGCAGCACAGCAGAAGGCUGCUCUGCAGCAUGCACAUGCACAUUCCUCAGGAUACUUCAUAACCCAAGACUCUGCAUUUGGAAAUCUUAUUCUUCCUGUCUUACCUCGACUUGAGGCAGAAUGAGGAAUGUUGUUUCUCAGAACUGAAGGAUCCGAUUUUUGUCCAUAAUAGAAACUGCCUGACCUUUUAAUUUCUUUACUUAUCUUUAAAACUAUUUUUUUCCGGAUUUUUGUGAUUGCCUUUCGGGAGUGUGAGCUCUAAUGAAGAAAAAGCAAUGUGGUUGAUUUUUAUCCUGUAUUUCUGUUCCUCUGUCAGGUCGAAGUCAGACCUAAGACUUCCUUGGUGUGAAGUGCAUAGCGCUUGCUCUUCCCUGUUUUUGUGCUUCCUUUAAAUAAAUGCCCAAACCACAGUCAUCAAGAGAUGCACGCUCU